rnacentral:rRNA from 1 species
UGUAGUCAUAUGCUUGUCUCAAAGAUUAAGCCAUGCAUGUCUAAGUUAAUAAUUUUACUGUGAAACUGCGAAUGGCUCAUUAUAUAAGUUAUCGUUUAUUUGAUAGUACCUUACUACAUGGAUAACCGUGGUAAUUCUAGAGCUAAUACAUGCUAAAAACCUCGACUUCGGAAGAGGUGUGUUUAUUAGAUUAAAAACCAAUGCCCUUCGGGGCUCACUGGCGAUUCAUAAUAACCUCUCGAAUCGCAUGGCCUUGCGCCGGCGAUGGUUCAUUCAAAUUUCUUCCCUAUCACUUUCGAUGCUAGAGUAGUUUCUACAGGACAACGGGUAACGGGGAAUGGGGCGGGGGCGGCGGGCCGGGCGCGGGGCGCGGCGGGCG